rnacentral:rRNA from 1 species
AGAGAGAGACAUGCGCGCAUAUCAAUAAGCGGAGGAAAAGAAACUAACUAGGAUUCCCUCAGUAACGGCGAGUGAAGCGGGAAGAGCUCAAAUUUGAAAUCUUCAAGGUUCUACCUUGACGAAUUGUAGUUUAAAGAAGUGUUUUCUGUUGGAGUUUUGGUAAAAGUUCUUUGGAAUAGGACAUCAUAGAGGGUGAGAAUCCCGUAUUUGACCAUUAUUUCCAGCUUUGUGAUACACUUUCAAAGAGUCGGAUUGUUUGGGAAUGCAGUCCAAAAUGGGUGGUAAAUUUCAUCUAAAGCUAAAUACUGGCGAGAGACCGAUAGCGAACAAGUACCGUGAGGGAAAGAUGAAAAGAACUUUGAAAAGAGAGUUAAACAGUACGUGAAAUUGUCAAAAGGGAAGCGUUUGACACCAGUGUUGUUUUUCUGAAAAGUCAAUUAAAGAACUGUUUAUGCUAAGCUGUUUAGACUUUAUCAGCUAUCUGUUUAGUUUUGAGCUUUUCUUUAAUGCACUUUUCAGUUAACAAGUCAACAUCAAUUUCUUUUGCUGUAAAAAAGCUUGAGGAAGGUGGCUUGAGAUUCGUCUUAAGUGUUUAUAGCCUCUUGCCUAUGCAGUCGGAGAGAUUGAGGUCUGCAGCGUAGAUCCUUCGGGGUUAGAUACAUUUGUGCUAAGUUAUAGCCUUUCAUAGACAACUUGUUGACUAUGAUCAGUCAUGUAGCUUACUCGCUUAUGCUACUUUACCUACGCUUAGGAUGUUGAUGUGAUACUGCGAGC